UUUGUCUGGAAGGAGUUGAACAGCUUCUCAUUUACAAGUUUGUGCCCAAUUUGAGCCUUGAUCAGUACAUAUUUGAUCCCUUGAAGCGUGCAAAUCUCAACUGGGAUAUGCGUCACAAGAUAAUAAUGGGCGUUGCCCGAGGGAUGCUUUAUCUACAUGAAGAAUCUCGACUUCGUAUCAUCCAUCGGGACCUCAAAGCCAGCAACGUUUUGUUAGACUCAAGAAUGAAUCCAAAGAUAUCGGAUUUUGGUAUGGCAAGGCUGUUCGAGUUGGAUCAAACUCGGGCCAAGACAAACCGAAUCGUGGGGACCUAUGGAUAUAUGGCGCG